rfam:Spinacia oleracea cultivar SynViroflay scaffold41581.con0004.1, whole genome shotgun sequence.
AAUUACAGUGACGACUCACAAAAUUCAAGCUCAACAGACCGUAUUGCAGGAAUUUCUCACUCUAUUGAGGAUGAUUCUUUUGCGUGUCGACACACCCGCUGAACUGAGUAAUC